CACCUAAUUAAAAUGCUUUCAUUUAGCGAGACACAAUUUUGUUGAACCAACUUAUUGUAAGUAUGUUGAGUGAACAUAAAGUAUUGGAGUUACUAUUACUUAUUUGUAACGUAUGGGUCCAACUUAACUUUGUAAAAGUUGUUUCAACAUAUUUACUAAGGAAGGAUUUGACUUAAUUCACUUGAAUGACAUCA